CACCAAGUUAGAGAUUGAUUGCGAUUUCAAGCUUCUCGUCACCUCCUCACAUUCAAAUACCAAGCAUAACAUCUCGCACUCAACCCAAGAAAUCAUAUCUCAUCACUAAACUGCUUUAAGAAUUUUUCCCUACCAUUAGAAAUGAUAAUUUACUAAUAAGCACUUGGAGUAUUUUAUUUUCAAUGUAAGGUCAUAAUCUCAAUUAGGGUCAAUAAUAACAUAUCCACCUUUAUAAAGUUAUUUCAACAUUUAAUCCCCAGUAUUUAAUACUUGAUUUGGUUUUCAUACUAAAAAUCCAAGAAAAUCAAAAGAUUACCAAAAAUAGCACUGUAUUUCUAGAAUAUAGAAGUGUGGCACCAAUUUCUGUAUAUUGAAAACUGCCAACAAAACCAUUGACUAAAAUGGCACUUUCUGGGCAGAAUUUCAAAAGUAGCACCAUGCAUGAAUUUUGCCUGAAAAUUAAAUUAAAAAAUACCAAAAUCCAAC
rnacentral:lncRNA from 1 species